rnacentral:rRNA from 1 species
UGGGGAAUUUUGGACAAUGGGCGAAAGCCUGAUCCAGCAAUGCCGCGUGUGUGAAGAAGGCCUUCGGGUUGUAAAGCACUUUUGUCCGGAAAGAAAUCCUUGGCUCUAAUACAGUCGGGGGAUGACGGUACCGGAAGAAUAAGCACCGGCUAACUACGUGCCAGCAGCCGCGGUAAUACGUAGGGUCAAGCGUUAAUCGGAAUUACUGGGCGUAAAGCGUGCGCAGGCGGUUUGCUAAGACCGAUGUGAAAUCCCCGGGCUCAACCUGGGAACUGCAUUGGUGACUGGCAGGCUAGAGUAUGGCAGAGGGGGGUAGAAUUCCACGUGUAGCAGUGAAAUGCGUAGAGAUGUGGAGGAAUACCGAUGGCGAAGGCAGCCCCCUGGGCCAAUACUGACGCUCAUGCACGAAAGCGUGGGGAGCAAACAGGAUUAGAUACCCUGGUAGUCCACGCCCUAAAACGAUGUCAACUAGUUGUUGGGGAUUCAUUUCCUAGUAACGUAGCUAACGCGUGAAGUUGACCGCCUGGGGAGUACGGUCGCAAGAUUAAAACUCAAAGGAAUUGAC